CCUGAGCCUGACACCCGAUAUAUAAAAUCCUAAAAAAUCUUCUUAGUGGUGUAGCCAGCCACUACUCUUUCUUUACAACCUUUUCUACUGAAACAAGAUAAGAGUCCAAAGCCUUGUGUACCACCAGUAAUCUCUUUCUCUUCUUCCUCUUCUUCGUAGAUGGCAUCAGUUCAUAGUGCCCUGACAUCAGUUGUGUUCAAGAAUGGAAACCAUUCUUCUCCAAAAAAGUUCCCAAGUAGUUCCUUCUUACCUGGAUUUGAUAUUAUGGGGCGUGUUUCAUGUCCACAUAAAAGGGAAAUGUCAGGCCCUAGAGCCACAUUAACCUUUGAUCCCCCAACAACCAAUGAGGGUAAGGACAAACAAAGGAAGCAUACAGUUGAUCCCGCUUCUCCUGAUUUUCUGCCACUUCCAUCCUUUGAACAAUGUUUUCCAAAGAGCACAAAAGAACAAAGGGAAGUUAUCCAUGAACAAACUGGCCAUGUACUUAAAGUUCCAUUUCGACGUGUCCACCUUUCUGGGGAUGAACCUCAUUUUGAUACCUAUGAUACCAGUGGUCUUCAAAACAUUGACCCACGUGUUGGACUCCCUAAAUUACGUAAAGAUUGGAUCAACAAGCGUGAAAAAUUAGGUGCACCUAGAUACACCCAAAUGUACUAUGCUAAGCAGGGAAUCAUAACUGAGGAAAUGUUAUAUUGUGCCACUCGUGAGAAUCUUGACCCUGAGUUUGUGAGGUCAGAAGUUGCUCGUGGGCGGGCAAUCAUCCCAUCCAAUAAGAAGCACUUGGAGCUGGAGCCGAUGAUAGUGGGAAGAAAAUUUUUGGUCAAAGUUAAUGCAAACAUUGGGAACUCUGCUGUUGCAAGCUCCAUUGAAGAGGAAGUUUACAAAGUCCAGUGGGCAACCAUGUGGGGUGCUGACACUGUCAUGGAUCUCUCUACAGGUCGCCAUAUCCAUGAGACUCGUGAAUGGAUUCUCAGGAACUCUGCUGUACCAGUAGGGACUGUACCAAUUUAUCAAGCACUCGAAAAAGUGAAUGGAAUUGCAGAAAAUCUAAACUGGGAAGUGUUCAGAGACACCCUUAUUGAACAAGCUGAGCAGGGUGUCGAUUACUUCACUAUCCAUGCUGGAGUACUACUAAGGUAUAUUCCACUAACAGCAAAGCGCAUGACAGGAAUUGUUUCACGUGGAGGAUCCAUUCAUGCAAAAUGGUGUCUUGCUUAUCACAAAGAGAAUUUUGCUUAUGAGCACUGGGAUGACAUUCUCGACAUCUGUAAUCAGUAUGAUGUGGCCUUGUCAAUUGGUGAUGGGCUGAGACCUGGGUCUAUAUAUGAUGCCAAUGACACUGCUCAAUUCGCAGAGCUUUUAACUCAGGGAGAACUGACUCGCAGAGCAUGGGAAAAGGAUGUACAGGUAAUGAAUGAAGGGCCUGGACAUGUUCCCAUGCAUAAGAUUCCUGAAAACAUGCAGAAACAGCUAGAAUGGUGUAAUGAAGCACCUUUCUACACCCUUGGUCCUUUAACAACAGAUAUCGCUCCUGGAUAUGAUCACAUUACCUCUGCCAUUGGUGCGGCCAACAUAGGUGCUCUGGGCACUGCACUUCUCUGUUAUGUCACUCCCAAAGAACACCUUGGGUUGCCCAAUCGUGAUGAUGUGAAGGCUGGGGUCAUAGCAUAUAAGAUAGCUGCCCAUGCAGCUGAUUUAGCCAAACAACAUCCGUAUGCUCAAGCCUGGGAUGAUGCAUUAAGUAAGGCAAGAUUUGAGUUCCGGUGGAUGGACCAGUUUGCUUUGUCACUGGACCCAAUGACUGCUAUGUCCUUCCAUGAUGAGACCUUGCCAUCGGAUGGUGCUAAGGUAGCUCAUUUCUGCUCCAUGUGUGGGCCAAAAUUCUGCUCUAUGAAGAUAACUGAAGAUGUGAGGAAAUAUGCUGAGGAGCACGGCUAUGGGACUGAGGAAGCUGUGCAGCGAGGAAUGGAUGCUAUGAGUGCUGAGUUUUUGUCUGCUAAGAAAACUAUUAGCGGGGAACAACAUGGUGAGAUUGGUGGAGAAAUCUACUUGCCUGAGAGCUAUGUCAAAUCCGCAGAGAGGUGAAGGAACAUUGAAUGAAAGGAAGCACAUUGACAAGUUUGGACGCUUAAACAGCAUGUUCAGCAGAUCGAGAUCGCGUUAUUGGGGUUGUUUUAAUGUUCGUGCUAUGGGGUGCCUGAGUCUGCUUCGCAAUAGCUAAAUUGGCCAGCGGGGCAGGCAGGUCAGGCUGAGAUAGUCCCUUUGAACCUGAACAGGAUUAUACCUGCGUAGGGAGUGUGCAUGUUAUUUUCCUGUUUUAUUGUACAGGAAGAGAGAGAGACCUGUGAUGUGAUCCAUGGUCCGAGAAACCCGACAACAUAAUGGCCGGAUGAACUGCGUUUAUCUGUGCUUAUGGUAAGGAUUACAUCGUAAUUGAGUGAGUGAUCCUUCUUAUCUUAAUAUGUGCUAUUACAAGCUCUACUAAGCACGAAAAACACUAAAGUACCCUUUCACCGUGGC